rnacentral:rRNA from 1 species
AUUGAACGCUGGCGGCAUGCCUUACACAUGCAAGUCGAACGGCAGCGGACCUUCGGGUGCCGGCGAGUGGCGAACGGGUGAGUAAUAUAUCGGAACGUACCUUUCAGUGGGGGAUAACGUAGCGAAAGUUACGCUAAUACCGCAUAUUCUGUGAGCAGGAAAGCAGGGGAUCGCAAGACCUUGCGCUGAUUGAGCGGCCGAUAUCAGAUUAGCUAGUUGGUGAGGUAAAGGCUCACCUAGGCGACGAUCUGUAGCGGGUCUGAGAGGAUGAUCCGCCACACUGGAACUGAGACACGGUCCAGACUCCUACGGGAGGCAGCAGUGGGGAAUUUUGGACAAUGGGCGCAAGCCUGAUCCAGCCAUGCCGCGUGAGUGAAGAAGGCCUU